ACAGACUGAAAAUGACCCCAGUUAUGUAUGUUGUCUGGGGUCAGAUAUCUGUGCCUAAACUACUGUGGUGCAUUAACAUUAUUACAUUUCCCCCGGUGACAAUGUGAUAAAACCCAUGCACCAACACAC